AAGCAGCUUGCUGCUUCGCUGACGAGUGGCGGACGGGUGAGUAAUGUCUGGGAAACUGCCUGAUGGAGGGGGAUAACUACUGGAAACGGUGGCUAAUACCGCAUAACGUCGCAAGACCAAAGAGGGGGACCUUCGGGCCUCUUGCCAUCAGAUGUGCCCAGAUGGGAUUAGCUUGUUGGUGAGGUAACGGCUCACCAAGGCGACGAUCCCUAGCUGGUCUGAGAGGAUGACCAGCCACACUGGAACUGAGACACGGUCCAGACUCCUACGGGAGGCAGCAGUGGGGAAUAUUGCACAAUGGGCGCAAGCCUGAUGCAGCCAUGCCGCGUGUAUGAAGAAGGCCUUCGGGUUGUAAAGUACUUUCAGCGGGGAGGAAGGUGUUGUGGUUAAUAACCGCAGCAAUUGACGUUACCCGCAGAAGAAGCACCGGCUAACUCCGUGCCAGCAGCCGCGGUAAUACGGAGGGUGCAAGCGUUAAUCGGAAUUACUGGGCGUAAAGCGCACGCAGGCGGUCUGUCGAGUCGGAUGUGAAAUCCCCGGGCUCAACCUGGGAACUGCAUUCGAAACUGGCAGGCUUGAGUCUUGUAGAGGGGGGUAGAAUUCCAGGUGUAGCGGUGAAAUGCGUAGAGAUCUGGAGGAAUACCGGUGGCGAAGGCGGCCCCCUGGACAAAGACUGACGCUCANGUGCGAAAGCGUGGGGAGCAAACAGGAUUAGAUANCCUGGUAGUCCACGCCGUAAACGAUGUCUACUUGGAGGUUGUGCCCUUGAGGCGUGGCUUCCGGAGCUAACGCGUUAAGU
rnacentral:rRNA from 1 species